AUUGAACGCUGGCGGCAGGCCUAACACAUGCAAGUCGAACGGUAGCACAGAGAGCUUGCUCUCGGGUGACGAGUGGCGGACGGGUGAGUAAUGUCUGAGAAACUGCCCGAUGGAGGGGGAUAACUACUGGAAACGGUAGCUAAUACCGCAUAACGUCUUCGGACCAAAGUGGGGGACCUUCGGGCCUCACACCAUCGGAUGUGCCCAGAUGGGAUUAGCUAGUAGGUGGGGUAAUGGCUCACCUAGGCGACGAUGCCUAGCUGGUCUGAGAGGAUGACCAGCCACACUGGAACUGAGACACGGUCCAGACUCCUACGGGAGGCAGCAGUGGGGAAUAUUGCACAAUGGGCGCAAGCCUGAUGCAGCCAUGACGCGUGUAUGAAGAAGGCCUUCGGGUUGUAAAGUACUUUCAGCGGGGAGGAAGGCGAUGGAGUUAAUAGCUUCAUCGAUUGACGUUACCCGCAGAAGAAGCACCGGCUAACUCCGUGCCAGCCGCCGCAGUAA
rnacentral:rRNA from 1 species